AUAAUCUAUAUAAAGUGUACUACAAAUUUGGGCUUCUUUAUUGGACAUUCAUUUUAUGUUCUUCUACUAUCAACACGUGUACACUAUUUCUUUCUACUUGCAAAUCACCAAUACUUCCUUACUUUGGUUUCUCCUCCUCUUUUCAAUUCUCUUUUCUCUUCUUUAUUUACCAUUGAAUUUCACUCAAGAGGGCGACAAAGUAUUUGAAAAGAAGAAAUAUUUUAGGCCACAUCUAUUUCUUCUUGGAGCAAAAUUAGAUCUCACUACUUGAAAGUGAAAUUUUGAGGAAAUCGAUUCUAAAAAAGAUGGAGACUGUUUCCCUUGCUCAAACGGAGAAAAUUUUGCUAUCUUAAUCAUGCUUUGGAAGUAUCUUCCUCAUUUUGGUACUUUUGGUUAUUUCAAAGAAUAAUUUUUAGGAUUCUUAAUCGACACAACCUCAAUUGGUAUGAAGGACCAAUUAUUACAAGUUAGGGAGAAGGAAGUAAAAAGAUGAAUAUCUUCAUCUUUGAACUAUGUGAUGCUCUGAAUGUCUAUUGGCAGGAAGUAUCUUCCUCAUUUUGGUACUUUUGGUUACUGAAAAAGAAUAAUUUUUGGUAUUCUCAAUCGACACAGCCUCAAUUGGUAUGAAGGACCAAUUAUUACAAGUUAGGGAGAAGAAAGUACAAAGAUGGUGCAGGCACAGGGAGACGAUAGAGCUACAGGAUCAUCGCUGCAGUUAUCCGGACGUCCAGUAUUCAUCCGGUUUUGGUAGGUUCUCAUGCUUUCAAGGAUGCUGUUGUUUUAUAUUCUAGCUUAGUUUUAGAGUUGAGCUAGUGGAGCAUGUUUCACUAGCGUUUCUUUUCUGUUUUUAUUCAGACUAUGUAUUGGUGCCAU